rnacentral:rRNA from 1 species
UACAGAGGGUGCAAGCGUUAAUCGGAAUUACUGGGCGUAAAGCGCACGCAGGCGGUCUGUCAAGUCGGAUGUGAAAUCCCCGGGCUCAACCCGGGAACUGCAUCCGAAACUGGCACGCUUGAGUCUCGUAGAGGGGGGUAGAAUUCCAGGUGUAGCGGUGAAAUGCGUAGAGAUCUGGAGGAAUACCGGUGGCGAAGGCGGCCCCCUGGACGAGGACUGACGCUCAGGUGCGAAAGCGUGGGGAGCAAACAGG